rnacentral:rRNA from 1 species
UACGAAGGGGGCUAGCGUUGUUCGGAUUUACUGGGCGUAAAGCGCACGUAGGCAGAUUCUUAAGUCAGGGGUGAAAUCCCGAGGCUCAACCUCGGAACUGCCUUUGAUACUGGGGAUCUCGAGUUCGGGAGAGGUGAGUGGAAUUGCGAGUGUAGAGGUGAAAUUCGUAGAUAUUCGGAAGAAUACCAGUGGCGAAGGCGGCUCACUGGCCCGGUACUGACGCUGAGGUGCGAAAGCGUGGGGAGCAAACAGG